GUAUAUUAUGUGUAUUUACUGUUAUGAGGAUGUUCCCCUUUAAAUAUGGCGGCCGAGCUCCACCUCAUCCUGCUAAUAGCAUUUGCUUUGAUUACUUUCCCCAACUAAGAUAACCGCCAUAUUUUAUUCACUACACAUACUAAUCUAUUUGAUUUAUUUCACUAAGAUCCUAACGUACCCUCCUCCCACAUCUCCCAUCCAUCUGUAGGAACAUUACAUACUGCAUGUUCCCUAUUUCACCCUUGUUUAAGCUCGGCAAAACACUUUGUUUUUGCCGAAAUUGCCAUUGACUACCCUCAGAACUACAUCCCCC